rnacentral:lncRNA from 1 species
CUCCACUGCUGAUUGGAUUUGGAGGAUGAAGAAGGCAGGAUAAGAAAAGGAUUGGAUUUAAAGGGAUUAUAUGAUUGACUCAACUUAAUAUUUCUUAAGCUACUGUGUAAUUGAAAUUAUCUUAAUAUGUUCUCUUCUUCACAGAGACUCAGUCUUUGAGGGCCAUCAUCAUUCCUGUACAAAUGAAAAAAAUUCUGUAUUGCUUAAGACUUGUUUGACGUGUUCCAGCCAAACUGGCCUCCAGCACUUUCUAAAUUAAUACCUAAAGCACAGAAUUAAAAUGACACAAUGAAAGACAACCAAGUAAG